rnacentral:rRNA from 1 species
GUUGCAAAGAACUUUGAAGAGAGAGUUCAAGAGUACGUGAAACUGCUGAGAGGCAAACUGGUGGGCCCUCGAAAUCCCGUCUGCGGGGAGAUUCAGUCGGGUGUCGGCGGCCGUCUCGCAAUGGGUCUGUCGCAACCGAAGAUCGGGGCACAUUCCGAGAGGCGAGUUCGCCGGAACCCGACGCAUUUCCCGCCCGCACGAAAGGACGCCGCAGCCGGUCGGGUAGCUGCGCGUGUCGGCCAUGAGGACGUGGCGACGGCAGGUGACCGGCGGCCCUAGGCUUCUCCGGAGGCACUAACGGUCGACGGUUGAUUAGCCGGCUCGUCCGUGGCGCGACACCCGACCGAGGAAACACGGACAAAAAUUUUCUCUCCACGGAGAGAAACUUAUAAUCCACUACUUUCAAUACGAGAGCGAGCCGUCGGACAGGCGCGUUCCUGCGUGGUCGGACAGUCACCGCACUGGUCGAUCUGGUGGGAGCGCGUCGUUGGUUUCCGAGUCAGGAUCUCGCGGAGGAGGAUGAAGGCUGGCGGCGAGUAGGUCGGUAACCCACCCGACCCGUCUUGAAACACGGACCAAGGAGUCUAACAUGUGCGCAAGUCGCGGGGUCUUGCUCAGGCCCAGAGGCGAAAUGAAAGUGAAGGCCGCCGCUCUCCCUCGUUCACUCGGGGGCGGAGUGAGGCGGCCCGGUUGGGACUCGCACGUGACACGGCACGUGAACGAAGCACCAACGACCCGCCCUGUUCUAUCUUCUGGAUAGGAACUCAAACGGAGUUCGAGCGCACACGUUGGGACCCGAAAGAUGGUGAACUAUGCCUGGGCAGGACGAAGCCAGAGGAAACUCUGGUGGAGGUCCGCAGCGGUUCUGACGU